AAAAACUGGUUUAAUGUAUUUAAGUACAAGAUCUUGCCAGGUUAUUUUACCGUGAACCUCAACAAAUAGUAGAUAUUUGGGGAACUCCUGCUUUUUACUUUUCAAUGUGACUACUAGAAAAUAUAAAAAUCACAUAUGUGGCUUCCAUUAUAUUUCUAUUGGAUAGCACCCGUCUAUCCAGUUCUUCAUAUUAAUUAAACAGUAUUCUAUUAUCCACUGAGAUCCUUUUUAACCAAUUUAAAUCGCUAUUUUACUCCUCUUUAUCUCUCUAUCUUAUUACACUGUAGUUUAGUAAUUAACUGCUAGUCACAGGUAGGCUCUAUGGACUUGAAAAAAUUACUGUCUAAUCUGUGUAUAUACAAGAGAAUACAUAUAUUCUCCUACCACUGAGAUAUGUAAAGUCAGAUUUAGAGUGUUCCAUCAGCUAUUAAAAUCACUGAUACAUUUAGACUUCAGGCAAAUUCUUGACUUCUACUUGCUCUAAAUCAUAUUUUUGUCCUAUUUUUGAAGUAACUAAAAGGAAUAGAAUAUCACAGUUGAAGCAGAUGAGAAUGUCCAGCUGUUACCCAAGGAUGUGGCUGUCAUUGAGAAUGUGUCAGUCAUUCAAGGAGAAUAAAAAGGCAGUUAGUUAGAAUCCCUUCUUAAAAUUUUGGAGGAAAAAUGGAUUGCAAUAGAGCUUUAUGUAGUACAUGGAGGAAUGCUAAAUUUUUAAAGUCACAAAAUUUCCCCGCAACACUUCUAGUAUUUUUAAACGAGGAAAGUCCAAAAUGUUCCAAAAUCAAUAAGUUAUGGAAGAAAAGGAGUUUUAGCUAAAAGUAAGAGCGACAUAAAGAGCAGUGCCUUUGCACAUCCAAGACUCCUUUUUUCUUUGUGUGUGCAGGUUAAAUCCUGCUAAGGCUGUGUUUGCAGGCAGGCCAGGCAGAAAUCACAGGUGCCACUAGGUCCUAAUUACAAUAAGGGCACUCUUAGGCUCCAAAAGGAUUUAAUAGAAGAUACAUGCAUGGUAGCAGGGUAUGCUUCUUAUUGUAAAGGGCUGUUUUUGAUAACGCUUCUCUCCCAGCUGCCCUUCUCCCCAAGCCCAGAAGUGGCUGGUUGUGGAAAUAUGUAAAAGGAAGUGGCUAAAAUUAAUAAUGGGCUGAAUACGUGGCUUUGUGGUAGAGAAAAGGGAGAUAGUGGAAGAGCAACUCCAGAUCACAUCUAGAUUAUUCUGUCUGGAGGAAGAAGUGGUGCUAUAAUUCCACUAGAGAGGAGGGGAGGUUUAGGGGUUGGAGACAUCACAGUUUCCCCCUUUGUUUUCAGACCAAUCUACUAAUCUCAUUGCAAUAUUUUCUCUCCAGUUCUUCCACUUUGGAAUCCUUUGUAAAUAUGCUAUAGUUUUUCAUGCGCUAGCUCACUAUGUCUUGAAAAACUGGAUAAUUUUAAAAAGAUGGAAUUGGGAACAUAUAAU
rnacentral:lncRNA from 1 species